GACGAACGCUGGCGGCGCGCUUAAUACAUGCAAGUCGAACGAGAAGCCAGAGCUUGCUCUGGUGGAAAGUGGCGAACGGGUGAGUAACACGUGAGAAACCUGCCCCAAAGAUUGGGAUAAGCCUUGGAAACGAGGUCUAAUACCAAAUACCUUCCUUUUAACACAUGUUAAAAAGAAGAAAUGCUCCGGCGCUUUGGGAUGGUCUCGCGAUCUAUCAGCUUGUUGGUGAGGUAACGGCUCACCAAGGCAUCGACGGAUAGCUGGUCUGAGAGGAUGUCCAGCCACAUUGGAACUGAGACACGGUCCAAACUCCUACGGGAGGCAGCAGUAGGGAAUCUUGCACAAUGAGGGAAACCUUGAUGCAGCGACGCCGCGUGCGGGACGAAGGCCCUAGGGUUGUAAACCGCUUUCAGUAGGGACGAAAGUGACGGUACCUACAGAAGAAGCCCCGGCCAACUAUGUGCCAGCAGCCGCGGUAAU
rnacentral:rRNA from 1 species